UGCCAGCCGCCGCGGUAAGACGAGGGGUCCUAGCGUUGUUCGGAAUUAUUGGGCGUAAAGCGGGUGCAGGUGGCUCGGUAAGUCAGAUGUGAAAGCCCAGGGCUCAACCCUGGAUGUGCAUUUGAAACUGCUGAGCUUGAGUGUGCGAGAGGAUAGUGGAAUUCCUGGUGUAGUGGUGAAAUACGUAGAUAUCAGGAGGAACAUCGGUGGCGAAGGCGACUGUCUGGCGCAACACUGACACUCAGACCCGAAAGCGUGGGGAUCAAACAGGAUUAGAUA
rnacentral:rRNA from 1 species